UACGGGGAGGCAUCAGUGGGGGAAUAUUGCACAAUGGGCGCAAGCCUGAUGCAGCCAUGCCGCGUGUGUGAAGAAGGACCUUCGGGUUGUAAAGCACUUUCAGUCGUGAGGAAGGUGGUAGUGUUAAUAGCACUAUCAUUUGACGUUAGCGACAGAAGAAGACACCGGCUAACUCCGUGCCAGCAGCCGCGGUAAUACGGGAGGGUGCGAGCGUUAAUACGGAAUUACUGGGCGUAAAGCGCAUGCAGGUGGUUUGUUAAGUCAGAUGUGAAAGGACCCGGGGCGUCAACCUACGGAAAUAAGCAUUUAGUAAACUAGGCAGACUAGAGUACUGUAGAGGGGGGUAGGAAUUUCAGGUGUAGCGGUGAAAUGCGUAGAGAUCUGAAGGAAUACCGGUGGCGAAGGCGGCCCCCUGGACAGAUACUGACACUCAGAUGCGAAAGCGUGGGGAGCAAACAGGAUUAGAUACCCUGGUAG
rnacentral:rRNA from 1 species